rnacentral:rRNA from 1 species
UACGUAGGGGGCUAGCGUUGUUCGGAAUUACUGGGCGUAAAGGGCUCGUAGGCGGCCAACUAAGUCGGACGUGAAAUCCCCAGGCUCAACCUGGGAACUGCGUCCGAUACUGGGAGGCUUGAAUCCGGGAGAGGGAUGUGGAAUUCCAGGUGUAGCGGUGAAAUGCGUAGAUAUCUGGAGGAACACCGGUGGCGAAGGCGGCAUCCUGGACCGGUAUUGACGCUGAGGCGCGAAAGCUAGGGGAGCAAACGGG